AGAGUUUGAUCUGGCUCAGGAUGAACGCUAGCGGCAGGCCUAAUACAUGCAAGUCGAACGGGUGCAGCAAUGCAUUAGUGGCGCACGGGUGCGUAACACGUAAACCUCCUUCUACUGGGGGAUAACGAUGGGAAACCAUCGCUAAUACCGCAUAAGAUCAUGACCUGGCAUCGGGGUAGUGAUUAAAGAUUCAUUGGUAAAAGAUGGGCCUGCGGCUGAUUAGCUAGUUGGCGGUGUAACGGACCACCAAGGCUGUGAUCAGUAGGGGUUCUGAGAGGAAGAUCCCCCACACUGGCACUGAGAUACGGGCCAGACUCCUACGGGAGGCAGCAGUAGGGAAUAUUGGGCAAUGGCGGAAACGCUGACCCAGCCAUGCCGCGUGCAGGAAGAAGGCGCUCAGCGUUGUAAACUGCUUUUGCCGGGGAAGAAUGAGCUCUACGUGUAGAGUAAGUGACGGUACCUGGUGAAUAAGCACCGGCUAACUCCGUGCCAGCAGCCGCGGUAAUACGGAGGGUGCAAGCGUUGUCCGGAUUUAUUGGGUUUAAAGGGUGCGUAGGUGGCUUUUUUAAGUCUGGGGGUGAAAGGCAGUGGCUCAACCACUCGCAGUGCCCUGGAUACUGGAAGGCUCGAGUGCGCGUGAGGCCGGUGGAACGGGUGGUGUAGCGGUGAAAUGCAUAGAUACCAUCCAGAACACCGAUUGCGGAGGCAGCCGGCUAACGCGCAACUGACACUGAGGCACGAAAGCGUGGGGAGCAAACAGGAUUAGAUACCCUAGUAGUCC
rnacentral:rRNA from 1 species